rnacentral:rRNA from 1 species
UCCUAUUCACCAUGGAUGCUAAAGAAUUAGGGGAGCCGGCGACUGAAGCCCCGGUGAACGGCGACCGUAACUAUAACAGUCCUAAGGUAGUGAAAUUCUUUGUCGGUCU